GAGUUUGAUCCUGGCUCAGGAUGAACGCUGGCGGCGUGCCUAACACAUGCAAGUCGAACGAAGCAAUCGGGAUGAAGUUUUCGGAUGGAUUCCUGGUUGACUGAGUGGCGGACGGGUGAGUAACGCGUGGAUAACCUGCCUCACACUGGGGGAUAACAGUUAGAAAUGGCUGCUAAUACCGCAUAAGCGCACAGUACCGCAUGGUACGGUGUGAAAAACCCAGGUGGUGUGAGAUGGAUCCGCGUCUGAUUAGCCAGUUGGCGGGGUAACGGCCACCAAAGCGACGAUCAGUAGCCGACCUGAGAGGGUGACCGGCC
rnacentral:rRNA from 1 species